UGGGGGAUAUUGCACAAUGGGGGAAACCCUGAUGCAGCGACGCCGCGUGGAGGAAGAAGGUUUUCGGAUUGUAAACUCCUGUCGUUAGGGACGAUAAUGACGGUACCUAACAAGAAAGCACCGGCUAACUACGUGCCAGCAGCCGCGGUAAAACGUAGGGUGCAAGCGUUGUCCGGAAUUACUGGGUGUAAAGGGAGCGCAGGCGGGAAGACAAGUUGGAAGUGAAAACCAUGGGCUCAACCCAUGAAUUGCUUUCAAAACUGUUUUUCUUGAGUAGUGCAGAGGUAGAUGGAAUUCCCGGUGUAGCGGUGGAAUGCGUAGAUAUCGGGAGGAACACCAGUGGCGAAGGUGGUCUACUGGGCACCAACUGACGCUGAGGCUCGAAAGCAUGGGUAGCAAACA
rnacentral:rRNA from 1 species